rnacentral:lncRNA from 1 species
UGCCGCCCCUCCCCUCCCCGCCGUCGCUGCCUUCAAAGGGAUCUUACAUUGAUCUUACAUUCAAAGGGAUCCUAAAACUGCUGUUGUAUCUGCCUGAACACAAACCAAACAGAAUAUACACACAAAAUCAAGAAAACCCAACUUCAGUUAUGCUAAAAGAGCCCAAAUUAAAGUGCGAAAAGAUAAGUUAAAAACAGUCUUCUUGUUGUAGACUGCAGAGGUUUGGUCUACCUCUUCUGCUACAGAUGUCUGCAGAUGUGGUCCGCAGACUGUAGACGUUUUACCUCUGAAACAAUAAACAACACCUUAUAGUAGGCGUCGUUAAGAUGGUUGUGUAUAUGUUGUAUAAAAACUAGCAAAAGGCUAGCAAUAAACAAUAGCUAAUUGAAUAAAAAUGCAUGGUUCGAGCUAUUAUACAAUUCAAUAAUUCAUCUUUCA